GUCUACGGCCAUGCCACCCUGAACAAGCCCUAUCUCGACUGAUCUCGGAAGCUAAGCAGGGGCAGGUCUGGUUAGUACUUGGAUGGGAGACCACUUAGGAAGACCAGGUGCUAUAGGCA
rfam:Pteropus alecto contig164405, whole genome shotgun sequence.